GACGAACGCUGGCGGCGUGCUUAACACAUGCAAGUCGAACGAUGAAGCCGGAGCUUGCUCCGGUGGAUUAGUGGCGAACGGGUGAGUAACACGUGAGCAAUCUGCCCUUGACUCUGGGAUAACUGCGGGAAACUGUAGCUAAUACCGGAUACGACACCUUGGGGCAUCCCAGGGUGUGGAAAGAAUUUCGGUCAAGGAUGAGCUCGCGGCCUAUCAGCUGGUUGGUGAGGUAAUGGCUCGCCAAGGCGACGACGGGUAGCCGGCCUGAGAGGGUGACCGGCCACACUGGAGCUGAGACACGGUCCAGACUCCUACGGGAGGCAGCAGUGGGGAAUAUUGCACAAUGGGCGAAAGCCUGAUGCAGCAACGCCGCGUGAGGGAUGAAGGCCUUCGGGUUGUAAACCUCUUUUAGCAGGGAAGAAGCGAAAGUGACGGUACCUGCAGAAGAAGCACCGGCUAACUACGUGCCAGCCGCCGCAGUAA
rnacentral:rRNA from 1 species